GCCCGGUCUUGUGCCUGCAGAUCCUGUUUGUAAGAGCAAUUCACGGUGAGGUCUGCGGUGCUUGCAUUAGCCUAGCAAACAAGUCCUUACCCAGGAGGGAAAUGUAGGAAGGCUAUUUAAUCCGCCCUCACUAAGUCCUGUGGCUUCUGAGCCCAACAUUUCCCGCACUUACCAUCAAGACGCAGGUAAAGGAAGUUCCGGAAAGCAAAGUAAUCCUCCAUGAUGGUCAUGAGAGACGUCAUCUGGCAGAAAAGCAGCACGCGGUGAUUAGUCGCUCUCAGUUUGGGCAGAAUACGAUCAAGUAGCUCAAACUUUCCUGAGGCCCGAUACAGCUCAGCCCUGAACCCAAAAAUGCAAAACAAGAAGACAGUAUUACUGCUGUCUUCCUGAAGGAUCCAGUACCGCUGUGAUGUUUGUGUAGUGCCUUGAACAUCGUAAACAUUCAGUAAAGAACUGUGGAAUCAAAGAAUGACUACCAACUCCAAAGCAAUGGGAAUGUUUAAUGAAGAAAGAAAAAAAAAUAUAUGUAUGUACCAGGACUCGAACUCAGGACCUUGCACUUGCCAGGCAAAAGCGCUAUGCUGCUGAGCUAUAUCACCGGCCCAGAAAAUAUAUUUACAUAAAACGCAUAAAGGGUGUAUAUUUCAUAGUAGGUUGAUGGCAGAUUCUAGAAUGAAAAGGAAAGUCUUCUGUGUGUCUAAUACUUUCCAGGGUUUCUCUCACUCAACUGCUGUCUUUGCCUUAAAGUUCCUGCUAUUAAGUAUGUAAAAUUAUUAACUUAGGGUACUUACAAUUCAUUCAAAUUCUUAUUAAGCACCUACUCUGUACCAAGCACAAUACUACAUGUGUAUUGUGAUAAUGAAAGUGAUUAAUUGCACAUUGUAAACACCAUAAAGUAAAAUACCAAGUGACAAUAAGAGGGCUCUUAGCAAUCCAUACCACCCUCUGUAGAUUACAGUGAGGUCUGGCAGACUGCCCUGGUCUGCUGCCCCGUUAUAAAUAAAGUUUUAUCAGAACACA